GACGAACGCUGGCGGCGUGCCUAAUACAUGCAAGUAGAACGCUGAAGAGAGGAGCUUGCUCUUCUUGGAUGAGUUGCGAACGGGUGAGUAACGCGUAGGUAACCUGCCUUGUAGCGGGGGAUAACUAUUGGAAACGGUAGCUAAUACCGCAUAACAAUGGAUGACACAUGUCAUUUAUUUGAAAGGGGCAAUUGCUCCACUACAAGAUGGACCUGCGUUGUAUUAGCUAGUAGGUGAGGUAACGGCUCACCUAGGCGACGAUACAUAGCCGACCUGAGAGGGUGAUCGGCCACACUGGGACUGAGACACGGCCCAGACUCCUACGGGAGGCAGCAGUAGGGAAUCUUCGGCAAUGGGGGCAACCCUGACCGAGCAACGCCGCGUGAGUGAAGAAGGUUUUCGGGUCGUAAAGCUCUGUUGUAAGUCAAGAACGAGUGUGAGAGUGGAAAAUUCACACUGUGACGGUAGCUUACCAGAAAGGGACGGCUAACUACGUGCCAGCAGCCGCGGUAAUACGUAGGUCCCGAGCGUUGUCCGGAUUUAUUGGGCGUAAAGCGAGCGCAGGCGGUUUGAUAAGUCUGAAGUUAAAGGCUGUGGCUCAACCAUAGUUCGCUUUGGAAACUGUCAAACUUGAGUGCAGAAGGGGAGAGUGGAAUUCCAUGUGUAGCGGUGAAAUGCGUAGAUAUAUGGAGGAACACCGGUGGCGAAAGCGGCUCUCUGGUCUGUAACUGACGCUGAGGCUCGAAAGCGUGGGGAGCGAACAGGAUUAGAUACCCUGGUAGUCCACGCCGUAAACGAUGAGUGCUAGGUGUUGGAUCCUUUCCGGGAUUCAGUGCCGCAGCUAACGCAUUAAGCACUCCGCCUGGGGAGUACGACCGCAAGGUUGAAACUCAAAGGAAUUGACGGGGGCCCGCACAAGCGGUGGAGCAUGUGGUUUAAUUCGAAGCAACGCGAAGAACCUUACCAGGUCUUGACAUCCCGAUGCUAUUUCUAGAGAUAGAAAGUUACUUCGGUACAUCGGUGACAGGUGGUGCAUGGUUGUCGUCAGCUCGUGUCGUGAGAUGUUGGGCUAAGUCCCGCAACGAGCGCAACCCCUAUUGUUAGUUGCCAUCAUUCAGUUGGGCACUCUAGCGAGACUGCCGGUAAUAAACCGGAGGAAGGUGGGGAUGACGUCAAAUCAUCAUGCCCCUUAUGACCUGGGCUACACACGUGCUACAAUGGUUGGUACAACGAGUUGCGAGUCGGUGACGGCAAGCUAAUCUCUUAAAGCCAAUCUCAGUUCGGAUUGUAGGCUGCAACUCGCCUACGUGAAGUCGGAAUCGCUAGUAAUCGCGGAUCAGCACGCCGCGGUGAAGACGUUCCCGGGCCU
rnacentral:rRNA from 1 species